GUUGGGAUCGGCGGUGUGGAGAGGAAAGAGGGAGCGAGCUGUAGUAUCCGCGGCGUAGGGGAGGGAGGAAGGACGAGCAGAACUAUCGGCGGCCGGCGGCGUAGGGAAGAGAGCGAAGGAGGAAGGGCGACCGCGGAGAGCGGGAACAGGAGCCUGUCCCCGGAGGGCGUACGUGCCGGUCCAGAAGUUUCGCGCUCCGCACGCCCUCCGCACACGCUCCGGAUGCACUCAAGGUUUGAGAGAGUCCGCCUAACUCCUCUUCCCCUCCCCACUACGCUACACCUAGGUUCCUUCCUCCCGAGCCCGUCGACGAAGGAGAAGGUGGGUCGGCCUGCUCCACUCGUUGUCGCCGUCCCUACCCGCUGGAGGCCGUCUCAAACCCCUCCCCGCGUAUAGUCCCACUCGAAGGGGUUAGGAAUAAAGGGGAAGCGAGUACUAGAGAGAGAGAGGAUGGGUAGAAGAUACGUUCUAAACACAUCGGAUUUGCGGAGACAUGCUAUACACAUCCAUAUGGAAAACUUCUUGUUUAGUUAGUUUACAAUUAAGAGGUUCCAUUGAACGGAAAAGAUGCGUUCAUGACGAACAAAUCAUGACACCUAUCAUGACACCUAUUCAUUUACAUUCGUACUGGGUUAUUACUAUGCUUGUUCGAAACUCUCCGAGUUAGUAAAAGUAAAUAUGAUUCUUAAUUGGUCAAGUGAUUAAAGAUACGAUGACUAUCACAGCAGACUUAUAUAGAUGAUGUAAGUGACGUGACACGAAUGUAAGUGUGACUAACAUCGACGUUCAAUUCUAGAUCAACAGGUUCUAUUAAGACUCCUAGAUUGUGUUGCACGCCAAAACUUGAUUCACUAGAAAAGACCGGAAUGAGGGUAGAUGAAAAUUUUAGUUAAAAUUACUAUAGCUAUCCAAUUCCAGUAAGUACUCCUCUCCACAACCCCACCUCAGGGUCCACAUCGAUGAUAACGGGAUAGUUAAGACAUCAGUGGAGAAAGACUUGUAACCAAUCAAGAAGUGCUCGCUAUGAUAUGAGAACGACGGAGAAUCAUAAGAGGCAAAUAAGAUUAUUCACAUACACCUGUGUGCGUCUGUCAUUACCUUGUUCGUGUUGUCAAGAGAAACACAAAAUCACCCAUAUACACCUACAUGUCUUUCACCAGAGACAAAUAAUUGCCCAAUGUACAACGACGUUACUUUUACAUAUACCACUAAAAGUAAGACCAAACGUCCCAUCAUGUACCUCGUAUCUUUGACCCAGCUUUCAGACAGAAAACACGUCCUUAAAUGACGUACAGACUAGGGAACGAGCACGAGAGACGAACAGGAGUGAGGCAUCUGGAAAGGAAACGAGCAUCGGUAUGUAAAAUAAGUCUCACGACAGUUCUGCGUAGAGGAAACGGAUAUACCGCCCGUCUCCCGGAUUCGAGAUCGAAUUUGACUUUAGUUACGUACCAUAACAAGUUAAGCUUCACAUGAACUGCACACGUCUAGACUCCUACUUCCCUUCUUCUGCUUUAAAUCGACUCCUCAACUUAUUCUAGUUCCAAUAAUAAGGUGUUAGUAAACAACCCAAAUUCCUAUAUUUGUUGUACCGAAUGCUCCUAAACUUACGACAAGAAAAUCAAGGUGAGAAUUUAGAAAACCAAGAACUUCCGGACGUGAAAGGACCACCUCAUUCUCGUUUUAUUAAGUCUCCGAAAUUUCGACGACGUGAAAUCAUCAAUCCUAGUUAAGAAACAAAACCAAACUUUACGAGGGGUUAAGGGGGAUAAACUAACUAAGUAGACUACCAGUAAACAGUCCGUUUAUUUGUCUUCCGUAUACAUAACAAAACUCACUUCGGUAGGUAUGUUCCGUUAUAUAAUUAAUAGUGUAUACACCUUAACUUCUAUCUCUCUUUACAAUAACAAGAAGACGA
rnacentral:rRNA from 1 species